rnacentral:rRNA from 1 species
AGAGUUUGAUCCUGGCUCAGGAUGAACGCCGGCGGUGUGCCUAAUACAUGCAAGUCGUACGCACUGGCCCAACUGAUUGAUGGUGCUUGCACCUGAUUGACGUUGGAUCACCAGUGAGUGGCGGACGGGUGAGUAACACGUAGGUAACCUGCCCCGGAGCGGGGGGAUAACAUUUGGAAACAGAUGCUAAUACCGCAUAACAACAAAAGCCACAUGGCUUUUGUUUGAAAGAUGGCUUUGGCUAUCACUCUGGGAUGGACCUGCGGUGCAUUAGCUAGUUGGUAAGGUAACGGCUUACCAAGGCGAUGAUGCAUAGCCGAGUUGAGAGACUGAUCGGCCACAAUGGAACUGAGACACGGUCCAUACUCCUACGGGAGGCAGCAGUAGGGAAUCUUCCACAAUGGGCGCAAGCCUGAUGGAGCAACACCGCGUGAGUGAAGAAGGGUUUCGGCUCGUAAAGCUCUGUUGUUGGAGAAGAACGUGCGUGAGAGUAACUGUUCACGCAGUGACGGUAUCCAACCAGAAAGUCACGGCUAACUACGUGCCAGCAGCCGCGGUAAUACGUAGGUGGCAAGCGUUAUCCGGAUUUAUUGGGCGUAAAGCGAGCGCAGGCGGUUGCUUAGGUCUGAUGUGAAAGCCUUCGGCUCAACCGGAGAAUUGCAUCAGAGACUGUUGAACUUGAGUGCAGAAGAGGACAGUGGAACUCCAUGUGUAGCGGUGGAAUGCGUAGAUAUAUGGAAGAACACCAGUGGCGAAGGCGGCUGUCUGGUCUGCAACUGACGCUGAGGCUCGAAAGCAUGGGUAGCGAACAGGAUUAGAUACCCUGGUAGUCCAUGCCGUAAACGAUG